rnacentral:rRNA from 1 species
AUUGAACGCUGGCGGCAUGCCUUACACAUGCAAGUCGAACGGUAACGGAUCCUUCGGGAUGCCGACGAGUGGCGAACGGGUGAGUAAUACAUCGGAACGUGCCUGGUAGUGGGGGAUAACUACUCGAAAGAGUGGCUAAUACCGCAUGAGAUCUCAGGAUGAAAGCAGGGGACCCUCGGGCCUUGCGCUAUCAGAGCGGCCGAUGGCAGAUUAGGUAGUUGGUGGGAUAAAAGCUUACCAAGCCGACGAUCUGUAGCUGGUCUGAGAGGACGAUCAGCCACACUGGGACUGAGACACGGCCCAGACUCCUACGGGAGGCAGCAGUGGGGAAUUUUGGACAAUGGGCGAAAGCCUGAUCCAGCAAUGCCGCGUGCAGGAUGAAGGCCUUCGGGUUGUAAACUGCUUUUGUACGGAACGAAAAGCUUCGGGUUAAUACCCUGGAGCCAUGACGGUACCGUAAGAAUAAGCACCGGCUAACUACGUG